rnacentral:rRNA from 1 species
GAUGAACGCUGGCGGCGUGCUUAAUACAUGCAAGUCGAGCGAACGGACGAGAAGCUUGUUUCUUUGAUGUUAGCGGAGGACGGGUGAGUAACAUGUGGAUACUCUACUUAUAAUACUGGGAUAACUUCGGGAAACCGGAGCUUAUACCGGAUAAUAUUUUGAAGCGUAUGGUUGAAAAGAGAAAGACGGUGUUGCUGUCACUUAUAGAUGGAUCUGAGCUGGAUUGGCUAGUAGGUAAGGUAACGGCUUAUCAAGGCAAGCAUGCAUAGCCGACCUGUGAGAGUGAUCGGCCACACUGGAACUGGAACACGGUCCAGACUCCUACGAUAGGCAGCAGUAGGGUAUCUUCCGCAAUGGUCGAGAACCUGGCAGAGCGACGCCACGUGAGUUAUGAAGAUCUUCCGAUCGUAAAACUCUGUUAUUAGUUAAGAACAUAUGUGUAAUUAGCUGUACACAUCUUGACGGUACCUAAUCAGAAAGCCACGGCUAACUACGUG